ensembl:snRNA U6 U6 spliceosomal RNA
GUGCUUGCUUCAGCAGCACUUAUACAAACAGAGAAGAUUAGUUUGGCCCCUGCACAAGGGAUGACAUGCAAAUUGGUGAAUAAAAGAACACCUCA